rnacentral:misc_RNA from 1 species
AGAGAACACUAAACAUCAAUAAGAAAACAGCUUCCAAAAAAUAAAAUUGAACUCCAGAAAUCCCCUAAAUAAUUAUCAGGAAAAGGAGACCCUUCUGAUUAUAGCGAGCUAUUCCUUUUAGGUUGCAUUCAGGGCUGCUAUUUAGCAACCAUAGAGUGGUUUGUGUACUCACAAUUCACAUAAGUUAACAAGACAACCAGACCAAUAAAUCCAAAAUGUAGUAUAACAAUAUAGCAGCAGAU